UUAAUCUGCUUUGCCACUCCAAUGCCUCUGUAAUACAGAAUCGUUAGUUUGCAGGGGAGAAUUUUGAGCCUUGGCAAACGUCCUGCUACCUGGAUAACAUUUUAUUGGCAGAAAAGGACAAGGAAGGUUUUGAAUUCAGAUCUAUAGACCUUCCUUCCUCCUCUUUUUCCUAUUGUAAGAUGCUCUCUCCCUCUCUCUUGCCUUCAUUCAUUCCUGUUCUUUAAUUACUCAGAUUUCUUCCUGCUAAUGGUGUGUCAGGCCCUGUUACAAGCACGAGGAGGGUCACCCAUAAUCACAAAACAUGGCCUUGCGAUAGACUCGGAGAAGGGAUGGUCUUGGUCUUUCUUCAGGACUCGGGUCCUGCGAUCCCGCGAGGAGCCAAUCCCUGGCGCGGAGACCAACGAGAUACGAAGGCCUCCCAGCUUCCUAGACGGUACCGGAAGUUGCUCCCAGGGUCCAACGACCGUAGAGGAACUCGCUUCCGGCGUAUGUUUGUUCAGGAACUACCCAAGUCCCUGGCAGAUGUGCUGGGGUUCGAGCACGCUGCUGAGCCCCGUUCGGGUCCCCGUUGUAGGAGCCGCCUUCCCGGCCUGUCCCUGCCCGCUCUUGGCGCUGGUAUUGACCCUCACUUGUGACACACAUGAUGAAACAGGCCCAGAGAGUGGCGGGAAAUUUCCGGGGAUCCCAGCACAUCCCCUACGGCGUUUGGUGGGAAGGCAGUACUCUGCCUCCCGACCUAAUACUGCUCACUUCGUGCUUCCUUGCCGGAGGGCACUAAACUCCCUGUACUUUGUUUGGCUAAAUCCCUUUCCUGGGUGUGUAAUCCUGACUCACUAUCUGACCUCCAGCUCAGCCUUUGACCCUUUGUGCUGCACAUCUGCCAAGUGGAAGGAGCGUUUUUAGCCUAUCCUACCCACAGCUCUCAGUCACCCGGGUUGUUAGCAAGGACUCGUGGACUGCACGAAGGAUCACUAGUCCAGCCACCACCUUGCUAUUUUAGUGAUGGUGAAACAGGCCCAUGGAGGGGUUUGAACCGAGACCUCCUGCCUUCCAUUUCAGAGGCCUUGUCUCUUUUUCUGACCCAGUGUCUGUGACCUUGAUUCUCCUAAAGCACAGUUUUGGUUUUGGAGUAACGAACUUUAUGCUCUUGAUUGUAAUCCUUCAGUUUCUGGGUAUUAUUGGACUUACGAUUUGAAAUCCACAUUUUUCCGGAAGCAUCAAACAUAGACUGGAAUUUUUCAGCCUUUAGGUAUGGAAGACCCCCUACUCUGCCACUUACCAUCUCGCAUUUGCGGCUUCCGGCAAGUUAUAUAUCCACUGAGUUUCUUCAUUUGUGAAAUGGAAAAACAAAAACAAAAAACAAUCCAUGACUGCUUACUCAGAGUUGGAAGAACUGAGUGAGAGUGUUUGUUACACAGAGCAAAACAAAUUGGAAAGCAUGCAGGAAAGGGGCAGCCAAAGAGAACAAGAACUAUCAAAGAAGACAAAUAAAAGGACCCAGCUGAGACUUAAAAGGGGGCUUUUUACAUCAAGCCACCUGAGCUUAUGUUCCCCCACCCGAGUGUGUUUCCACUCAUGUCUUCCUCUUUUGAGCAAUAAAAUGGCUUUCAUGCUG